rnacentral:rRNA from 1 species
AGAGUUUGAUAUGGCUCAGGAUGAACGCUGGCGGCGUGCUUAACACAUGCAAGUCGAACGAAGCAACUAUCUUGCUUGCAAGAGAGUUGACUUAGUGGCGGACGGGUGAGUAACGCGUGGGUAACCUGCCUCAUACAGGGGGAUAACAGUUGGAAACGACUGCUAAGACCGCAUAACCCGCUAGUGUCGCAUGACACGGACGGAAAAUAUUUAUAGGUAUGAGAUGGGCCCGCGUCUGAUUAGCUAGUUGGUGGGGUAAUGGCCUACCAAGGCGACGAUCAGUAGCCGGCUUGAGAGAGUGACCGGCCACAUUGGGACUGAGACACGGCCCAAACUCCUACGGGAGGCAGCAGUGGGGAAUAUUGGACAAUGGGGGCAACCCUGAUCCAGCCGACGCCGCGUGAGUGAAGAAGUAUUUCGGUAUGUAAAGCUCUAUCAGCAGGGAAGAUAAUGACAGCACCUGACUAAGAAGCCCCGGCUAACUACGUGCCAGCCGCUGC